rnacentral:rRNA from 1 species
UCGGGAAUUUUGGGCAAUGGGCGCAAGCCUGAUCCAGCCAUGCCGCGUGGAUGAUGAAGGCCUUAGGGUUGUAAAAUCCUUUCGUUGGGGACGAUAAUGACGGUACCCAAAGAAGAAGCUCCGGCUAACUUCGUGCCAGCAGCCGCGGUAAUACGAAGGGGGCUAGCGUUGUUCGGAUUUACUGGGCGUAAAGCGCGUGUAGGCGGAUUUGUAAGUUGGGGGUGAAAUCCCGAGGCUCAACCUCGGAACUGCCUCCAAAACUACAAGUCUGGACCUAAGUAGAGGCAAGUGGAAUUGCGAGUGUAGAGGUGAAAUUCGUAGAUAUUCGCAGGAACACCAGUGGCGAAGGCGACUUGCUGGACUUAUGGUGACGCUGAGACGCGAAAGCGUGGGGAGCAAACAGGAUUAGAUACCCGAGUAGUCCCUGAGCGGGCUGGCAAGGCGCAU